UACGAAGGGGGCUAGCGUUGCUCGGAAUCACUGGGCGUAAAGGGUGCGUAGGCGGGUCUUUAAGUCAGGGGUGAAAUCCUGGAGCUCAACUCCAGAACUGCCUUUGAUACUGAAGAUCUUGAGUUCGGGAGAGGUGAGUGGAACUCCGAGUGUAGAGGUGAAAUUCGUAGAUAUUCGGAAGAACACCAGUGGCGAAGGCGGCUCACUGGUCCGGUACUGACGCUGAGGUGCGAAAGCGUGGGGAGCAAACAGG
rnacentral:rRNA from 1 species